rnacentral:tRNA from 1 species
GGGCCCAUAGCUCAGCGGUAAGAGCCACCGGCUCAUAACCGGUUGGUCCCUGGUUCGAAUCCAGGUGGGCCCA